rnacentral:rRNA from 1 species
UACGGAGGAUGCAAGCGUUAUCCGGAAUGAUUGGGCGUAAAGCGUCCGCAGGUGGCUAUGUAAGUCUGCUGUUAAAGAGUGAGGCUCAACCUCAUAAGAGCAGUGGAAACUACAUGGCUAGAGUGCGUUCGGGGCAGAGGGAAUUCCUGGUGUAGCGGUGAAAUGCGUAGAGAUGGGGGAGAACACUCGUGGCGAAGGCGGCCAGCUAGACCAGUUCUGACACUGAGGCGCGACAGCGUGGGGAGCAAACAGG